UGGGGAAUUUUGGACAAUGGGGGAAACCCUGAUCCAGCCAUCCCGCGUGUGCGAUGAAGGCCUUCGGGUUGUAAAGCACUUUUGGCAGGAAAGAAACGUCGCGGGUUAAUACCCCGCGAAACUGACGGUACCUGCAGAAUAAGCACCGGCUAACUACGUGCCAGCAGCCGCGGUAAUACGUAGGGUGCAAGCGUUAAUCGGAAUUACUGGGCGUAAAGCGUGCGCAGGCGGUUCGGAAAGAAAGAUGUGAAAUCCCAGAGCUUAACUUUGGAACUGCAUUUUUAACUACCGGGCUAGAGUGUGUCAGAGGGAGGUGGAAUUCCGCGUGUAGCAGUGAAAUGCGUAGAUAUGCGGAGGAACACCGAUGGCGAAGGCAGCCUCCUGGGAUAACACUGACGCUCAUGCACGAAAGCGUGGGGAGCAAACAGGAUUAGAUACCCUGGUAGUCCACGCCCUAAACGAUGUCAACUAGCUGUUGGGGCCUUCGGGCCUUGGUAGCGCAGCUAACGCGUGAAGUUGACCGCCUGGGGAGUACGGUCGCAAGAUUAAAACUUAAAUGAAUUGAACGGGGUCAUAGCUG
rnacentral:rRNA from 1 species